GAUCAUGGCUCAGGAUGAACGCUGGCGGCGUGCUUAACACAUGCAAGUCGAACGAAGCACUUUAACCUGAUUCUUCGGAUGAAGGUUUUUGUGACUGAGUGGCGGACGGGUGAGUAACGCGUGGGUAACCUGCCUCAUACAGGGGGGAUAACAGUUAGAAAUGACUGCUAAUACCGCAUAAGACCACAGAGUCGCAUGGCUCGGUGGGAAAAACUCCGGUGGUAUGAGAUGGACCCGCGU
rnacentral:rRNA from 1 species